CCUCCCCCCAUCAUGACAUUGUUCACAGCCUGCUAUCUCACAACCAGAAUACAAACAUGAGGUAUGGAAGUGGUUCGACAUAAAAAAGAAAGAAAAUACUAGAACAUGCAAGAACAUGCUAAAAAGCGACAACAAUUGUGAACAAUAACAAAAUGUGCAUUAAAAAAAAAAAAAAAAAUUACACUGCCUUGCAUCUUUGGUUACAAAGUCGGUUGAAACGAUUUUUCACAGCUUUUACUUAUUUAUUUUUUUUGUAAACCCCCAUCCCAACCUGAAAUGAUAAAAAAAUAAAAAUAAAUAAAAUAAACACGAGUCGGCUGUUCGUCUUGUAGCCUAUUUACGAACAUUUUACUCACUUUGCGCUGGACGAUUUUAAAUAGGACACAGCCGAGGUGUUGGGACUUGUGCUUGAUGUUUGGGAGUCAUAAUUAUUGGGAUUACACCGUACGACCGGCGCUGAAACGAUACGGCCACGCGGAUCAAAUCGUAACUGAAGUGCGGACGUUAUUUGAUUCAUUUGUGCAACACUACGCAGAGGAAAUUCACAGAAAAGGAGAGGAGGACGUUUUUUUUGUUUUGAAACCUGAUGACAAGUUAUACCUCCUCUAGAACUUUAAGAUCUUCUAACCAACACUUGAUCAUCAUGAGCAACCCGAUUACGAGUCGACGCAAUACUGAGCGAGAUUUCUUAAUAAUUAGUUACGCCUAUUAUAAAACUCGCCACCUCCAGCUGCUUCCAUCGUACUAUGUAGAGGCGGUGAAAGGAUCCAUGAUGGAGGGUUGGGUUGGGGAAUAGAACAGGUCAGGAACUGCUUGGUGGCAGCACCAAUUGAAAAACAAAGGUUGGUACUACCUUUGGCACUAGUUUUGCCAUUUUGUGGAGUACUCUUUUUAGAGUUUGGCACUACUACUGCGGAGAGUCUAAAAGUCACAGCCCUAAAUCUUCCGUUUGUUGACGAACGGUCGAUUAUGCUCACAACCGACACUUCAUAACGAGGUUGUGCUGAACGUUUGAAUUGGGGGGAAAAAAGCGUCUUUUAAAUUUUAAUUGGAUUUAAUUAUAAAUGCAAAAUUCAGCAAGAACUAAACCAAGAGUAAAAAUCCUCUUAUUUGUUUGUUUGUGCCCCCCCCCCCAAAUUUAAAAGCGUAAAACGUACCUAGCGUAGACGCCAUUAAGUCGUUAUAAUACACAAGUCUGUUUCAAGGGUGACGGUGCUUUUUUUAAGUAAACAUCCUCCAUGAUAGACAUUUUAAAAUCCCAAUUAAUUUCUGUUUAUCCUCAUUUUCAGUUGACUCUUCUGCUUCAUCCAAUCUCUAUUUGUUGUGAUGCGAUCGUUUUUUUUUUUUUUGACCGACGCUUGUUCCUAUAUAAACAAAACACUCACUCAUUUUACGUUCGUUAACAAGCUUGUAGGUGGAUGUGACUUUCCGGAUUGCUCCUGUUGUUCUUUUUGCAGCGUUUAGAGGCGUUUCCUUCAACAUCAGGUUACACUUGUUACCAUUUGUUAGUGACAUUACGUUUUUUUAUACGGAGGCUCCGAGGCAUGUCUCCAGUACACAGGACGAAAGCCCGUUGUAGCGUUUAAGAGAAUCACGUGAUCAACGGGAACCGAGGCCUCACUUUCUGUUCAAUCACAUGACUGCUUCGUUUUGACUGCCUUUGGGUCGGUAGUUGGGUGGGGUGAGCAUUAGGACUGAAAUUGUGCAAAACUCUACAUUAUUUUAUUGCAUCACACUGAUAUUAUUGGCACCUAUAACAAAGCAGUACGUGACCGUAAUUAUCGUUCAGAACGACAUCUCGCAUCUACAAUGUGAGAACGGAAU
ensembl:lncRNA